rnacentral:rRNA from 1 species
UACGUAGGGUGCGAGCGUUGUCCGGAAUUAUUGGGCGUAAAGAGCUUGUAGGCGGUUUGUCGCGUCUGCUGUGAAAAUCCGGGGCUCAACCCCGGACUUGCAGUGGGUACGGGCAGACUAGAGUGUGGUAGGGGAGACUGGAAUUCCUGGUGUAGCGGUGAAAUGCGCAGAUAAUCAGGAGGAACACCGAUGGCGAAGGCAGGUCUCUGGGCCACUACUGACGCUGAGAAGCGAAAGCAUGGGGAGCGAAUGGG